UCAGAUUGAACGCUGGCGGCAGGCCUAACACAUGCAAGUCGAGCGGAUGAAGGGAGCUUGCUCCUGGAUUCAGCGGCGGACGGGUGAGUAAUGCCUAGGAAUCUGCCUGGUAGUGGGGGAUAACGUCCGGAAACGGGCGCUAAUACCGCAUACGUCCUGAGGGAGAAAGUGGGGGAUCUUCGGACCUCACGCUAUCAGAUGAGCCUAGGUCGGAUUAGCUAGUUGGUGGGGUAAAGGCCUACCAAGGCGACGAUCCGUAACUGGUCUGAGAGGAUGAUCAGUCACACUGGAACUGAGACACGGUCCAGACUCCUACGGGAGGCAGCAGUGGGGAAUAUUGGACAAUGGGCGAAAGCCUGAUCCAGCCAUGCCGCGUGUGUGAAGAAGGUCUUCGGAUUGUAAAGCACUUUAAGUUGGGAGGAAGGGCAGUAAGUUAAUACCUUGCUGUUUUGACGUACCAACAGAAUAAGC
rnacentral:rRNA from 1 species